rnacentral:rRNA from 5 species
AAGGUCACGGCAAGACGAGCCGUUUAUUGUCACGAUAGGUGCCGGGUGGAAGUGCGGUGACGUAUGCAGCUGAGGCAUCCUAACAGACCGAGGGAUUUGAACC